AUACCAGCACCCCGAGUGGUCGGGACGAUUAUUGGGCCUAAAGCAUCCGUAGCCGGUUUUACAAGUCCUCCGUUAAAUCCAACUGCUUAACAGAUGGGCCGCGGAGGAUACUAUAAGACUAGGAGGCAGGAGAGGCAAGCGGUACUCAGUGGGUAGGGGUAAAAUCCGUUGAUCCAUUGAAGACCACCAGUGGCGAAGGCGGCUUGCCAGAAUGCGCUCGACGGUGAGGGAUGAAAGCUGGGGGAGCAAACCGGAUUAGAUACCCGGGUAGUCCCAGCUGUAAACGAUGCAGACUCGGUGAUGGACUAGCUUAAUGCUAGUCCAGUGCCGCAGGGAAGCUGUUAAGUCUGCCGCCUGGGUAGUACGGUCGCAAGACUGAAACUCAAAUGAAUUGACGGGG
rnacentral:rRNA from 1 species